rnacentral:rRNA from 1 species
GAUGAACGUUGGCGGCGUGCCUAAUACAUGCAAGUCGAACGAAGACUGUAGUAAUACUGUCUUAGUGGCGAACGGGUGAGUAACGCGUGGGUGACCUGCCCCGAAGUGUGGGAUAACAGUCCGAAAGGAUUGCUAAUACUGCAUAAUAUCCAAGAGAUUAGAUGCUUUUGGAUUAAAGGAGUAAUUCGCUUCGGGAGGGGCCCGCGUCCCAUCAGCUAGUUGGUAAGGUAAUGGCUUACCAAGGCGAUGACGGGUAGGGGACCUGAGAGGGUGGCCCCCCACAAUGGAACUGAAACACGGUCCAUACACCUACGGGUGGCAGCAGUAGGGAAUAUUAGUAAUGGGCGAAAGCCUGAACUAGCAACGCCGCGUGUGCGAAGAAGGCCUUCGGUCGUAAAGCACUUUUGUAGAGGAUGAGGAAGGACGGUACGUCUCAGAAUAAGUCUCGGCGUAACUACGUG